CCUCCAGUCCUGACCCCGGAGGGUGGUGCUUCUUCUUGCGCAGAACGCCCUUUGCCUGGUUCACUCAGGGCUCCUGGCCUCGGACUGGGCCUGGUUUGAGCAGAAUACUUUGUUGUGCUGAGGGAGGUUUCCAUAUCAUGUAUCAUCAAUGAAUUCAUGGGGUUCUUUCUUGACCAAAUCAUCUGAAAUCAGUAAAGAAAAUGUCUGAGACACAGGUUUUAAAAACGUUCCAUGACUUUCUUGAGAAGAUAUAACAUCUAUUCACCCCAAGUAAGAGUGAAGUGGCAACCUGGCCUCAUUUCAUCUCUGAGGAUGUUACUUCAAAUUGAUCCCGGGAACAGAAUCUUAAUUCUGAAUUCUACACUUCUUCAGUAAAGGGAACUUCCUCGUUUUCUUUCAUUGCUUUUCUCUUGGACUUGCAUAGAUGGGCAUGAACGUGUGUGUACAAAUGUGUGUGUUCAAGUUCAAGUAUACAUGUGUGCAUGUGAAAGGCAGACAUCAAUGUAGCAAUCAGAACUGCUUUAUUUUGGGGGGACAAGGUCUCACGCUGAAUCUGGAGGUGGCUGACUUAGCUAGACUGACUGACCAACAGGCUCCAGGAAUCUGCAUGUAAUGUCUCUGCAUUCCCAGUGCUGGAAUUACAGGCGCAUACUCCUAGACCAGUUUUGUGGGGUAUUUGUAAACUGUGUGAAGGUCUAUUGCUGUGAUUGCUGUAAUAAAAAGCCAAAGUAUGAGGAAGAAUCUAGGUGAGAGAGAAGGAGGGUUGGGGGAAGACAUGGAGGAAUCAGGAUGUGCAGUACAUGACAGAAUGUAGAUUAAUAGAAAUGGGUUAAUUUACUUUAUACCAGCUAGUUACAAACAAGCCUAGGCUAAGGCCAAGCUUUCAUCAUUGAUCAGUCUCUGAGUCAUUAUUUGGGAGCUGGUGCCCCCCCAAAUCUAACUACAGCCUUAAAAAAACAAAAACAAAACAAACAAAAAACCCCAGGUGCUGGACAUCUAAAAUCAGGUCUUCAUGCUUCCAUGGCAAGUGCUUUACUAACAGGGAUUUCUCCUUAGCUCCAUUUGUCUGUUUGUUUAUUUUUCAGACAGACCCUCCCCAUUUAGCCCAGGGUGCUCUUGAUUCGUAAUUCUCCUGCCUCAGCCUUGUGAAAGACAGGAAUAUAGGCAUUUACCACAACACCCAACUUCUCCUGACAAUUCUAAAUGUUCUAUAAUGAUAACAUGACAUCUACACACAUCCAUUCAGCCACAUAUCUAAUCCUGUCAAUAUAGUAUCUCAGUUUUUAAAAUAAGUUGGUGUCAUUUGAGAAACUACAAAUUAGGACCUAUAGAGUCUGGAAAGCUAAAAAAUGAAUAUAAUCUAGUUUAAAAUGCGGUCAAGAUUAAGCACAGCAGCUUCUGGAUUUGUUCAUCUUAAGUUCUAUAAAUGAUAUAGUCUAUUUCUUACCUGGACCUCCUCAUUUCCCUUGCUGUGAUUAUGAAACAUUGAGAAUUAAAACCACAACUCGCUACAAGCCAGACCUCUCUGAAGAUCCAACAAUCUACAAGCCUAAAUUCCUGCUGUUUUGUCCUGAACAUAUCUCCUUGUCACUUGAGAAAGAAACAAAUAGUAAAGAUUCUGAAAAUAAAAUCCUUUUAACCACAGAGGAUGGGGUUUAUCAGGUUCUUGAUUGAGUCAUAUCUUAAUUGUUAA